AUGCAUAGUGCUGAGUCCACUGCACCACGAGCCGUCAUUUAUACAUGGUCCUUAGAAAGGAGCCGAGGUCUACUUCAAUCAAAGUGAAAAUUGAGCAGGAAGGAUUUGUAUGCAGUAUUGGUAUCCCGCCAUAAACGCCAAGUCACCAGCCGACAAUUUUCACCGAGGAGCCAAGAAAAUUCGCCGCAACAGGACAAGAGACCAAUAGUUGAGCACAAGUUCUACCGAUCAUUCAACAAUUCAAAAUAGAAACCUAUAGAAUCAUUCAAGAUAAUAUCGUCAAUCAAGUCAACAAAAUUGCCGCCUUUUCAUUUCCCGCGUUGUUGCCAAGCCAAUCUUCGCGCGCCGCAGGCUGCCCUCCUAUUGGCCAAUCAAGUUAGCCCGCCGCCUUGCUGCUUUAUCGACAACGACGACGCCAUCAGCAUCACGCCGCGCCACUUCCCUGUACCGACCGUGGUGACAUUUUGUUUUGCUUCCGUUUGCGUCUCUUCGACGAAAAAUACCUUUUUAGUUUUUAGUUAAUUUCUGUUCGCAAGUUUUUAUUUGACUAUAAGUGAAAACAUUGUAUAGUAUAGUACUUCAGUCUAAAAAUGUCGGAAACCGAUUCCGAUAGAUGUGAAACAAUGGAAUCCAAUAUGACAACUAUGGCGUCUGCGUCUUCUAUGGCCGCAAAUGUUAAAGCGCUCCAAAGAAAGCGUGCUGCGUUAACAAAACAUUAUAAUUAUUUUAACGAUAUUGAAAAUGUUGACCGGGACCGUGAAGCCCUACUUAUCAGGGAGGAACGCUUACGGGCUACAUUUGAAAAAUUCGAUGAAAUUAAUUUAGAAAUUUGCGCAACAGACCCCAAAGCCGGUGAUUCUGGCGAUGUGGAAAGCAAAUUCCUUGAAGUGAUUACAUUAAUUAAAAAGCUUAUGGUCAAUAGCGCCACUCGCCCUUCAGCGCAGCCGCCUUCAAGGCACAAAUUGCCUCAAAUAAGUGUACCAACAUUUACAGAUAAUAGAGCACUUGCAUUAGAGAAUGCAGAGCGACAAGUACACCCUUCUACAAGCCCGAAGGUCGUACACACGGUAACUAUGAUGAAGAAGCCGUCUUCACCUCAAGUCUGCAUACUAUGUGCUGCUACCGCCUGAGCGUCAUGAUGUCCACCGCUUAGUGCAGGAUGCAGGCACACCGAGCACAUCUGUUUCGCUACCAGUUUUUCGCACUCAAUUUGGUUAUGUUGUAGCAGGAUCACUUCCUUCUGCUUUGCAUGCACAUCCGGUAACUUCUUUAUUUUGCAACAAAUGUGAUGACUCCUUAAAUGAAACUCUCACUCAAUUUUGGAAAACUGAGAGUGUUCCUGAGUUUUUUACUGAAAGUUUACCUGAACAUCAAGCUUGUGAGAAAUUAUUUUGUGAUACUGUAACUUUAGACACUAAAACCAAUAAGUUUCAAGUUGCCUUACCUCUUAAGUUACCGUUAGAGUCUGUCAAUCAAACACUUGGUCAUUCUUUUAAUUUAGCUUUAAAAAGGUUUUAUAAUUUGGAAGCUAGGCUUCAAAAGGAUUCCUAUCUUUUCAAGCUUUAUAGUGAAUUCAUACAUGACUACAUACAACAAGGUCAUGGCACAAUCAUCAAUAUCAGUCAAUAUGACCUUUCUACUGAUCCUGUGUAUUUCAUGCCACAUCAUCCUGUUCUCAGGCUUGACAAAAAAUCUACAAAAUGUCGUGUAGUUUUCAAUGGCUCAAUGAAAACAAGUAAUAAGGUGUCACUGAAUGAUUUGCAAUUAAAUGGCCCUGUAGUCCAAAAAGAUUUAGUAGAUGUCUUGCUGUUGUUUAGAGUUGACAAAUACAUUUUUAUAUCUGAUAUCAAAAGUAUGUUCAGACAAAUUUCAUUAGAUCCAAAGUAUAGAUCAUUACAAAAUAUCCUUUGGAGGGACACCCCCAAGGAAGAUAUAAAAUGUAUACAAUUAAAUACCGUAACGUAUGGUCUUAAAAGCUCUUCAUAUCUGGCUACACGAUGUUUAAAAGAACUGGCAAAUAGAUAUAAAAAAGAUUUUCCUUUAGCCGCAUUCAUCAUUGAAAAUUCUAUGUAUGUAGAUGAUGCACUUGUUUCUCAAAGUAGCCCACAGUUAUUAGUUGAGUCUAAGAAGCAACUAUGCAGUCUUUUAGAAAUUGGUGGAUUUUAUUUACACAAGUGGUACUCAAAUUAUCCACAACUGCUAGAAAGUAUCCCAAAACCGUUUCAGCAUUUUGAUGAUGUUGAUUUGGAGAAAAAUAAUGUUUCUUUAAAAACUCUAGGAGUCAAAUAUAAUGUAAACACAGAUUCUUUUAUGCUUUCAUGCCCUAACAAGGACUCUGUCAUGCCCGCUUCCAAACGUGAUAUAUUAAGUUUUAUUGGAAGUUUUUACGAUCCCUUGGGUUUUGCUGGACCCGUGGUAGUAAAAGCUAAGGUCAUUAUGCAAAGGCUAUGGCAUGCACAAGUCGGCUGGGAUGAAGAACCCACCGGCGAUUUACUUAGCGCAUGGUGUGAAUUUUACAAAAGUUUGCUAUCUAUGACACCAGUUGCAACACCACGCUACAUUCAUUUAAACAACGCUUAUUCUGUUCAUAUAAUAGGUUUUGCUGAUGCUGCGAGUUCUACAGCCUAUGGUUGCUGCAUUUACUUGAGGGUCACCGAUGACUCAGGUAAUGUGAAAGUUUCUUUACUCUGUUCAAAGUCGCGUGUGAAUCCAUUAAAGCAAGCCCUUACUAUACGAGGGCUGCUAUUUAUGUAUCCGGAACUGGCCAAUAAUUCUAGAAUAUUUAAAAAGUAAUUACAACAUUUGAAAAUAGAACUCUUCGGCUAGAUAAUAAAUAUUUUUCAUGUCCCUGUCAUUUGUUUUUUUCAAUUGGCGCCAAUUUUGAAAAUAGCUUGUCUUCAUUGCCAUGGAUUUAACUCGUGAACAUUUUCGCGCGAUGAUUUAUUAUGAUUUUCGGCGUGGAUUAACUCAAAAACAGUGCAUCGAACAACUGAUUCUAACUUUUGGAGAUGAAGCACCAUCGAAAACCACUGUGUAUUAUUGGUUUAAGGAAUUUCAACGUGGACGGUCUAUGCUCACGGAUGAAAUUAAGGAGGGUCGUCCUAAAUCGGUAGUGGUACAACAAAAUAUUGAUGCUGUACGACAAUUAGUAAUGCAAGAUCGUCAUGUUACAUACCGCGAGAUAGAGGCGUCUCUGGGCAUUAGUAUGACGAGUAUACACGCGAUAUUACACGAACAUUUAAUUGUUAAAAAAAUUUGUUCGCGUUGGAUUCCGCACAACUUGAGCGUAGAUCAAAAACAGGCUCGUGUCGACUGGUGUAAGAAAAUGAUAAAAAAAUACAACCGUGGCACGUCAAAAGCUGUUUAUAAUAUCUACACAGGUGACGAAACCUGGAUCUAUGCUUAUGACCCUGAAACUAAACAGCAGUCAACGGUGUGGGUCUUUCAAGAUGAACCGAAUCCAACAAAAGUUGUUCGUGCGAGAAGCACUUUAAAGCAAAUGGUCGCUUGUUUUUUUGGUAUCAACGGACAUGUAGCUACAGUGCCACUAGAGAAUAGUAGGACGGUUAAUUCUGAAUGGUACACCACCAUUUGUUUGCCAGAAGUCUUUGAAAAAAUACGAAAGAACAACCCACAACGCAGAAUCAUACUUCAUCACGACAAUGCUAGCUGCCACAAGUCGGCUGAAACAAAUAAUUUUUUGGAGGGUCAAAAGAUUGAAUUGACGGGUCAUCCGCCGUACAGCCCCGACCUGGCACCCAAUGAUUUUUAUUUAUUUCCAAACAUUAAAAAUAAAUUACGUGGUCAACGUUUUUCGAGCCGCGAAGAGGCCGUUGAUGCGUUCAAAACACACGUUUUGGACAUACCUCAAUCAGAAUGGAAAAAGUGCUUUGAAAAUUGGUUUCAUCGUAUGCAGAAGUGCAUAGAUCAUCGCGGAGAAUACUUCGAGAAACAAUAAAGCCAUAUGUAAUAAUAUAUGUUUGUUUAAUUUUGUUAUUCCGGAUACAUAAAUAGCAGCCUAUGUACCAAGACUCGAACUUAACGCGGCAUUAUUGCUUGCAAAGCUAGCCGCUAGAGUGUAUGAUAUUUUGAAACUCAAAUUAAAAAUUGAUGACAUUAUCUUGUAUUCAGAUUCCCAGAUUGUAUUAGCAUGGAUUCAAACUAAUGUAAAUAAGCUAGACACAUAUGUGGCAAACAGAGUAAAGGUAAUUUCACAACUCACUUCCUCAUAUACUUGGUCUUACAUUAGUUCUGAUGAAAAUCCUGCAGACUGUCUAAGCAGAGGCUUAAUGCCAGGUGAGUUGUCAAGUCAUCCGUUGUGGUGGCGAGGUUCAAGUGCUAUAAACACUUGCGAUUAUAAAUCAGAAAACUGGUCUGAGCCGCAUCCUACUUCACUGGACAGCCCUGCGUUCUCUCAUGCAUUGUUUUGUACUGUUUCAAACGAACAAGUAUUAUGUUUAGAUUUUCUUUAUAAAUAUUCUAAUAUCAAUAAAAUGCAACGCGUAUUAGCCUACAUACUACGUUUUGUUGAGAAUGCAAAGCCUAAGGUGGUCAAAAAUAGGUUAAGCUAUUUAACAAGUAAGGAAUUAAGUGAUUCUUUAUUUUUAAUUAUUAAGUAUGAACAACAAAGUCAUUUAAAAAAUGAUAUCUGUAGUUUAAAAUGUAAGAAUGAAAUUGUUAAGGGUGAUUUAAAGCCAUUGUGUCCAUUUAUUGAUGACAGAGGUCUGUUGAGAGUAGGUGGCCGUUUAAAGAAUGCUUCUAUUCCAUAUUCUCAAAAACACCCGGUUGUUUUGCCUAAGAAUUCUCGCAUAACAGAUUUGAUUAUUCAAAGUGAACAUUUAAAAUGUCUCUAUGCAGGACCUAGGUUACUUCUGUCAACAAUAAAUCAAAGAUUUUGGAUUGUACAUGGCAUCAGACAGAUUAAAAAGGUUAUACAUAAGUGUAUUGUAUGUUUUAAAUUAAAGGCCAAUGCUGCAAGGCAAUUGAUGGGUUCGUUGCCUCACGAUCGAGUAAAUGUAUGCAGAGUAUUCCAAAAAGUUGGGUUAGAUUUUGCUGGCCCGAUUAUGAUAAAGCAAUCUAGACUAAGAAAAGCCCUAGAAACUAAAGCUUACGUGUGUGUAUUUGUAUGCUUUGCCACUAAGGCAAUACAUUUAGAAUUAGCAUCUGAUUUAAGAACAGAAACAUUUCUAGCCUGUUUGAAAAGGUUUAUUGCACGCAGAGGUUUACCCACUGACAUUUACAGUGAUAAUGCGUCAACUUUUAAAUCUGCAAGUAGACAGUUAAAUGAUUUAUAUAAGUUAAAAAAUUGUAAAGAUUCUCAGAAGGAAAUUCAUACUUUUUCAUCGCAAAAUAACAUAUCUUUCCAUUUCCUGCCUUGUUACUCGCCUACAUUCGCAGGUUUGGCAGAAUCCGGCGUGAAAAGUAUGAAGUUCCAUCUGAAAAGAGUGGUUCAAAAAAUCUUAUUAACAUAUGAAGAAUUAAAUACUGUACUAUGUCAAAUAGAAGCCAUGUUAAAUAGUAGACCACUCAUGCCAUUGUCAGCAGAUAUAAAUGAUUUUUUGUAUCUCACACCGGGUCAUUUUAUAAUAGGAGAUGCUUUAAACAGCUAUCCAGAACCCAAUGUAACGAUUUCAAAUGAUAAUUUAAAAUUUUGGACACAAUGCACUUGCAUUAGAAACUCCUUUUGGAGAAUCUGGAGUAAAAAUUAUUUAAAUAUGUUGCAGUCACGCCCAAAAUGGAGAGAUUCUCAUGUUAAUGUAAAAGUAGGUUCAUUAGUAAUUUUAAGAGAAGACAACACGUCACCUAUGUUUUGGCCGAUGGCCAGAGUCACACAGGUCUUUCCUGGGACAGACAAUAAGGUUAGAGUUGUUGAAGUAGUGACUCCAACUCGGAACACUCACAAGCGCUCCAUAACAAAAAUUAGUGUUUUACCCAUCUUAUUGUUAAUAAAUUUAUCCUCUAUAAAUAGGCAGUGUUCAUAGUUAGGUAUACGUAUGACAACCUCAUAGUUUAUUUAUUUGUUUUUUUUUUGUUAUAAACAAGUAGUUUUUAUUUUUAUACUGAUAGUCAAUAUGUUAAGUAUUUUGCAGUGUCAAAAUAAGAUUGAUAUUCAAUAACUUUUAGUUAGAUAAUUUAAUUGUGCAUAUGUAUCACAUAAUCUUUAAUAAAUAUUGUAAAGUGAGCAUGCAUGUUGUUCAAAUUAUUCAUUUAAUGUUUGCUGCGCUUUGUCCUACAAACACUUCGUUUGCCGGGCAGCAUGUUGGAAAUCCCAACACUAAAUUAUAUUUUUAUUUUUUUUACUAUAGCAACAUUUACGCUCACAUUAAAAAUAAUGCUCUCUUCCUUUUUGUCUCCAUUGCCAAUAAAAAGUUCUCCCAAGUAA